GAAUUCGCCCUUAGAGUUUGAUCCUGGCUCAGGAUGAACGCUGGCGGCGUGCCUAACACAUGCAAGUCGAACGAAGCUUGACGGUGGAACUCUUCGGAGGGAAACCUGAUAUGACUUAGUGGCGGACGGGUGAGUAACACGUGAGCAACCUGCCUUUCAGAGGGGGACAACGACUGGAAACGGUCGCUAAUACCGCAUGAUAUGUUCGGAUGGCAUCAUCUGAACAUCAAAGAUUUAUCGCUGAAAGAUGGGCUCGCGUCUGAUUAGAUAGUUGGUGAGGUAACGGCUCACCAAGUCGACGAUCAGUAGCCGGACUGAGAGGUUGAACGGCCACAUUGGGACUGAGAUACGGCCCAGACUCCUACGGGAGGCAGCAGUGGGGAAUAUUGCACAAUGGGGGAAACCCUGAUGCAGCAACGCCGCGUGAAGGAAGACGGUUUUCGGAUUGUAAACUUCUUUUCUUUGUGAAGAAACAAAUGACGGUAGCAAAGGAAUAAGCAUCGGCUAACUACGUGCCAGCAGCCGCGGUAAUACGUAGGAUGCAAGCGUUAUCCGGAUUUACUGGGUGUAAAGGGAGCGCAGGCGGGACUUCAAGUUGGAUGUGAAAUGUCAAGGCUUAACCAUGGCACUGCAUCCAAAACUGUAGUUCUUGAGUGGAGUAGAGGUAAGCGGAAUUCCGAGUGUAGCGGUGAAAUGCGUAGAUAUUCGGAGGAACACCAGUGGCGAAGGCGGCUUACUGGGCUCUAACUGACGCUGAGGCUCGAAAGUGUGGGUAUCAAACAGGAUUAGAUACUCUGGUAGUCCACGC
rnacentral:rRNA from 1 species